GAGAUCCUGAUCCAAAAUGUCCUGAAGAUCAAGAAAAAUUGAGCCGAAAUGAUGUUUUCCCUGAUGCUUUUACGAAACGUGAGUUGAAAAGUAUUCGUUUACAUUGUCCUUCUGAACAAUGUGAAUGGUUUGGCUCCUACGAAGAAUUGGAAGGUCAUUCUCAAGUUUGUGAGCAUGCGCUCAUCAGCUGUGUUCACAAGCAGUGUAACAUUCAGUUACCUCGCUCUCUCCUUGGUGAACAUUUGAAGAAUGAAUGUGACUAUCGCAAUGUGAAAUGUGAACAUUGUGGUAAAGAUGUCUCGCAUGCUUUACUUAAGCUCUGUUCAAAAUUAUUCGUCUCC